GACGAACGCUGGCGGCGUGCCUAAUACAUGCAAGUCGAGCGCAGGAAGCUGACGGAACUCUUCGGAGGGAAGGCAGUGGAAUGAGCGGCGGACGGGUGAGUAACACGUAAGGAACCUGCCUCAAGGAUGGGGAUAACUCCGAGAAAUCGGAGCUAAUACCGGAUAGUUCAUCGGACCGCAUGGUCCGUUGAUGAAAGGCGCUUCGGCGUCACCUUGAGAUGGCCUUGCGGUGCAUUAGCUAGUUGGUGGGGUAACGGCCCACCAAGGCGACGAUGCAUAGCCGACCUGAGAGGGUGAUCGGCCACACGGGGACUGAGACACGGCCCAGACUCAUACGGGAGGCAGCAGUAGGGAAUCUUCCACAAUGGACGAAAGUCUGAUGGAGCAACGCCGCGUGAGUGAUGAAGGUUUUCGGAUCGUAAAACUCUGUUGUAAGGGAAGAACUCGUACGAGAGGGAAUGCUCGUACCUUGACGGUACCUUACGAGAAAGCCACGGCUAACUACGUGCCAGCAGCCGCCGUAA
rnacentral:rRNA from 1 species